ACGCAAUAGCCAUGGUACGUUUCACCCCGGAGAGAUUGACUUCUCGAUCUCCCCAAAUUUUGCAGACAAUACAUAGUGGGUAUUUAUGCAGCGACGGUUUCAGAGUUACCUCCUUGAGGGACACACCUUCGCCGUCGCUGUCGUCCAGGGAGAGGUCUCGUAAGGCAACGAGCUCGGUGCUGGCUUCGAUGUCUUCGGCUACGGUUUCCUGCUCGGUCGUCGCCGAUUCCAGGGUCGUGCCUUCCAUGGUAGCAGGCAUGGUGCACGGAGCGGUUUGGUUCGGUUUGUU
rnacentral:lncRNA from 1 species